AUUGAACGCUGGCGGCAUGCUUUACACAUGCAAGUCGAACGGCAGCGCGGGCUUCGGCCUGGCGGCGAGUGGCGAACGGGUGAGUAAUACAUCGGAACGUGCCCAGUAGUGGGGGAUAGCUCGGCGAAAGCCGGAUUAAUACCGCAAACGACCUGAGGGUGAAAGCGGGGGAUCUUCGGACCUCGCGCUAUUGGAGCGGCCGAUGGCAGAUUAGCUAGUUGGUGGGGUAAAGGCCUACCAAGGCGACGAUCUGUAGCUGGUCUGAGAGGACGACCAGCCACACUGGGACUGAGACACGGCCCAGACUCCUACGGGAGGCAGCAGUGGGGAAUUUUGGACAAUGGGCGAAAGCCUGAUCCAGCAAUGCCGCGUGUGUGAUGAAGGCCUUCGGGUUGUAAAGCACUUUUGGCGGGAACGAAAAGGACUGUGCCAAUACCACGGUUCGAUGACGGUACCCGCAGAAUAAGCACCGGCUAACUACGUG
rnacentral:rRNA from 1 species